UACGUAGGGUGCGAGCGUUGUCCGGAAUUACUGGGCGUAAAGGGCUCGUAGGUGGCCAACUAAGUCAGACGUGAAAUCCCUCGGCUUAACCGGGGAACUGCGUCUGAUACUGGAUGGCUUGAGUUUGGGAGAGGAAUGCGGAAUUCCAGGUGUAGCGGUGAAAUGCGUAGAUAUCUGGAGGAACACCGGUGGCGAAGGCGGCAUUCUGGACCAAUACUGACGCUGAGGAGCGAAAGCCAGGGGAGCAAACGGGG
rnacentral:rRNA from 1 species